GACGAACGCUGGCGGCGUGCUUAACACAUGCAAGUCGAACGGAAAGGCUCUGCUUUUGUGGGGUGCUCGAGUGGCGAACGGGUGAGUAACACGUGAGUAACCUGCCCUUGACUUUGGGAUAACUUCAGGAAACUGGGGCUAAUACCGGAUAGGAGCUCCUGCUGCAUGGUGGGGGUUGGAAAGUUUCGGCGGUUGGGGAUGGACUCGCGGCUUAUCAGCUUGUUGGUGGGGUAGUGGCUUACCAAGGCUUUGACGGGUAGCCGGCCUGAGAGGGUGACCGGCCACAUUGGGACUGAGAUACGGCCCGGACUCCUACGGGAGGCAGCAGUGGGGAAUAUUGCACAAUGGGCGGAAGCCUGAUGCAGCAACGCCGCGUGCGGGAUGACGGCCUUCGGGUUGUAAACCGCUUUCGCCUGUGACGAAGCGUGAGUGACGGUAAUGGGUAAAGAAGCACCGGCUAACUACGUG
rnacentral:rRNA from 1 species